CUGGAGAGCUGCAGGUGAACAGGUCAGGAAGCUGAGCUGAUGAGCAGGCUACAGCAGGAGCUGGAGAAUCAUGUGCGGAAAAGAACUAUGCAUAUGCAUGUUGACAUCAACAGUAAAGCACAAACAAGAAAGCAAACAAAACAGUUGGAGUGGAUUACAAUGCAUUUAAACAUGGAGGAAAUCGGUAUUUGUCAAAUGGAAAAAAAGAUCAACCCAGCAUAAAAAUGAAUAGGGCAUCCAGCUAUGCAGCUUUUUGUGCUUGAGAUCAAAGUGCUACUGGAGAACAAUAGCAGGCCACACUUGUGUGUUCAUGACCACACACAGCAGCACCUGAAGAGCAGCAAAAUGUCACUGUUGCUUCUGCAGUUUGAGCACAGAGGAAGCAGCUCUGCGGUGGCAGAUGAUUCUAAUAAUACUUGAUGUGAAUUGAUGGGGAAGGAGGACCAUAACACAGGGGGCUUUUUAUUAUAAGCCUUGACUUCCCAAGAUGUGAACAACAGAAUACUGCACCUGUGGACUUUCUUCCAAUCAACCAUUAUGGAAGCUGACAGAUUUUAUUAACUUAAGGAAGAACUUUUCAACAUUGGAGAUUUGUAGUUUAUUUUGUAGCCAUGUGAAAAAGAAAUAGAGGGACGUGUUUACAUAUUUCCCACUGUUCUUAUUUUUCUAAUAGAGCCUUAAACGCUCUGCUUUUUAAAAUAAUUUUGUAAUAAAAUUGGAGGGGCAUUUAUUGGGAGUAGGGUUCUUUUUUUUUUUUUUUUUUUAAUUAAAACAAGUUGUUUGGACUAUUUUCCUGGUCACUUGUUUUCAUUGCUCUGUGGCUUUCAUUAGAUGUUGAUGAAGAGACUUUGAAAAGCGAGGGAAUAAAUAUAUAUGCUACUUAAAAAAAGACAUUUGAUAGACUUCAACAUUUGAUGAAUGUUAAAAUCGUCACGCUGUGGAGAAUUGUGCUCUGGCUAACGCUAUGCAGCAACAUUGACCUCAAUACAGGGGUGCAAAGCAGACUUUGGCCCUUUAUGUCACUUUGUGUGUCUAGUGCAUACCCUUGAGUUAUAUAUUUGAGUUAAUGUUAUUGAGUCAUAUGAACCUUGUAACCUUCCCAAAUUUGGAGUCUGUUCCUUGCAAAGUUUCUCCAGUAGUUUUCACUGAUAAUGCAUCCCUAGUCCCUAUAUAUUGCCAGGGGCCAGGCAUUUUCCCAACAUCUGUAUGUUGGCACUUGUCUUACUUUAUUAUUUGCAUAACUUAAAACAAAAACAAGCGUUCAAAUGAGGCGAGAGAAAAAUCAUGUUUUUGUUAUAGAUUUUUCUGUUUUUCUUUACUUCUAGUGUUUACAGAAGCAGAGUCUGGCAUACCCAUUUCCCACAUUUGUAGAGGUGGAGACUCCAUAAACAGCAGGAUGGAUGCUGUUCUGCUGCAUAAGGGGUUGGGUAUAUAUGCCCCUGCAUGGCAUGGGGUCCAUCUCUAUAAGGCUCCCUCUGCAUCAGCAUCGAGAGGAAAGCUGGAUGGGGCAAGGAAAGGAUCAGGCCAGGGAAAACUCCA